rnacentral:tRNA from 1 species
GGGGUUGUGGCUCAGUGGUAGAGCGCUUGCCUAGCAUGUGUGAGGCACUGGGUUCAAUUCUCAGCAUUGCUU